rnacentral:rRNA from 1 species
GCAGUAGCCGCGGUAAUACGGAGGGUGCGAGCGUUACUCGGAAUUACUGGGCGUAAAGCGUGCGUAGGUGGUGGUUUAAGUCCGUUGUGAAAGCCCUGGGCUCAACCUGGGAAUUGCAGUGGAUACUGGGUCACUAGAGUGUGGUAGAGGAUAGUGGAAUUUCCGGUGUAGCAGUGAAAUGCGUAGAGAUCGGAAGGAACAUCUGUGGCGAAGGCGACUAUCUGGGCCAACACUGACACUGAGGCACGGAAGCGUGGGGAGCAAACAGGAUUAGAUACCCGCGUAGUCCCUGUCUCUUAUAC